GACGAACGCUGGCGGCGUGCUUAACACAUGCAAGUCGAACGGAAAGGCCCUGCUUUUGUGGGGUGCUCGAGUGGCGAACGGGUGAGUAACACGUGAGUAACCUGCCCUUGACUUUGGGAUAACUUCAGGAAACUGGGGCUAAUACCGGAUAGGAGCUCCUGCUGCAUGGUGGGGGUUGGAAAGUUUCGGCGGUUGGGGAUGGACUCGCGGCUUAUCAGCUUGUUGGUGGGGUAGUGGCUUACCAAGGCUUUGACGGGUAGCCGGCCUGAGAGGGUGACCGGCCACAUUGGGACUGAGAUACGGCCCAGACUCCUACGGGAGGCAGCAGUGGGGAAUAUUGCACAAUGGGCGGAAGCCUGAUGCAGCAACGCCGCGUGCGGGAUGACGGCCUUCGGGUUGAAAACCGCUUUCGCCUGUGACGAAGCGUGAGUGACGGUAAUGGGUAAAGAGGCACCGGCUAACUACGUG
rnacentral:rRNA from 1 species